rnacentral:rRNA from 1 species
AUGAACGCUGGCGGCGUGCCUCAUACAUGCAAGUCGAGCGAACAGACGAGGAGCUUGCUCCUUCGACGUUAGCGGCGGACGGGUGAGUAACACGUAGGUAACCUACCUAUAAGACUGGGAUAACUUCGGGAAACCGGAGCUAAUACCGGAUAAUAUUUCGAACCGCCCGGUUCGAUAGUGAAAGAUGGCUUUGCUAUCACUUAUAGACGGACCUGCGCCGUAUUAGCUAGUUGGUAAGGUAACGGCUUACCAAGGCAACGAUACGUAGCCGACCUGAGAGGGUGAUCGGCCACACUGGAACUGAGACACGGUCCAGACUCCUACGGGAGGCAGCAGUAGGGAAUCUUCCGCAAUGGGCGAAAGCCUGACGGAGCAACGCCGCGUGAGUGAUGAAGGUCUUCGGAUCGUAAAACUCUGUUAUUAGGGAAGAACAAACGUGUAAGUAACUGUGCACGUCUUGACGGCACCUAAUCAGAAAGCCACGGCUAACUACGUG